CAGUAGCGUAUAUUAAUGUUGUUGCAGUUAAAAAGCUCGUAGUUGGAUUUCUGACUUGACGCGCCUGGCCCGCCUUGCAUUUCGCGGGUGAGUGCCGGAGCGCGUCGGUCAUCCUUCUAGAGAACGGCGCUACCCUUCACUGGGUCGGCGUCGCAAUCUAGAUCUUUUUACUUUGAAAAAAUUAGAGUGUUCAAGGCAGGCUCGCGCUGUGAAUACAUUAGCAUGGAAUAAUAAUCUAGGACUUUGUCCUAUUUUGUUGGUUUCUAGGAAUUAAGUAAUGAUUGAUAGGGAUAGUUGGGGGUGCUAGUAUUCAGCGGCCAGAGGUGAAAUUCUUGGAUUUGUUAAAGACGGACUACUGCGAAAGCAUUUGCCAAGGAUGUUUUCAUUGAUCAAGAACGAAAGUUAGGGGAUCGAAGAUGAUUAGAUAUCCA
rnacentral:rRNA from 1 species